rnacentral:rRNA from 1 species
GUCUAAUUCUAGCCUAUAUUCACACAUAUAUUACUUCUCCCCCCCCCCAAAACAUUUAUAUAUGUUAGUAUGGGUGACAAAAAACAUUUUAAGCGCAAUAAACAAAGUACUGCAAAGGAAAGAUGAAAUAAAAAUGAAAUAAUUUUAAACAUAAAAAAGCAAAGACUCAUACUUUUACCUUUCGCAUAAUGGUUUAGCCAGUCCACAUUAACAAAGAGAACUUUAGUUAUAUACCCCGAAAUCAGAUGAGCUACCCUUAAGCAGCAAUAUGAGCAAACUCUUCUCUGUGGCAAAAGAGUGAGAAGACUUUAAGGUAGAGGUGAAAGACCUAACGAACCUGAAGAUAGCUGGUUAUYUGAGAAUGAAUUUAAGUUCAACUAAAAGCACUAAACCACCAACAAGACUAAUAAUGCUUUUAUUAUAAUUAAUUAGGGUACAGCCUAAUUAAUAAAGGAUACAACCUACAUGCAUAAAUAAAGAUUAUAUUAUAAGAGGAGUUCUAUAAUGUGGGCCUAAAAGCAGCCAACACAUAAUAGCGUCAAAGCUUAAUUUAUUAAAUACUUACUAUUCUAAUAAUUAAUCCUAAUUUACCCAAACAAUCAAAUAAAUCUAUAAAAUAGAUGAAUUACUACUAAAAUAAGUAAUAAGGAAUGAAAUCCUCUGAAAUGUAUGUAUAAAUCAUAAUGAACAAUCACUGAUGAUUAACAACUAUAUUUAUUCUACAAGAAUAAAAUAUCACAAAAUGUUAACCCAACACAGGAACAUUAAAGAAAGACUUAAAAUCUGAAAAGGAACUCGGCAAACCCUGAGCUUCGCCUGUUUACCAAAAACAUCGCCUCUUGCCUAACCUAUAUAAGAGGUACUGCCUGCCCAGUGACACCUGUUUAACGGCCGCGGUAUUAUGACCGUGCAAAGGUAGCGUAAUCACUUGUCCCUUAAAUAGUGACCAGUAUGAAUGGCAAAACGAGAGCUCAACUGUCUCCUCGGAUUAGUCAAUGAAAUUGAUCUUUCCGUGCAGAAGCGGAAAUAUAAAUAUAAGACGAGAAGACCCUGUGGAGCUUUAAACUUUAACUAAUACUUAAUAAUUAAUAAAUAUUUAGUGCAGGUUUUAGGUUGGGGCGACCACGGGGUAAAAUUAAACCCCCGAGAUGUGAUACUAAGAAGAACACUUCAAACAACAAUAUAAUUGACAUAAUUGACCCAAUAAUUGAUCAACGAACCAAGUUACCCCAGGGAUAACAGCGCAAUCCUUUCUUAGAGUCCCUAUCGACGAAUGGGUUUACGACCUCGAUGUUGGAUCAGGACCCCCAAAUGGUGUAACAGCUAUUAAAGGUUCGUUUGUUCAACGAUUAAAGUCCUACGUGAUCUGAGUUCAGACCGGAGUAAUCCAGGUCAGUUUCUAUCUAUAAAUAAUUUUUCCUAGUACGAAAGGACCGGAAAAAUAAGGCCCAUAAAAUUUAGGCCUUCUCAACAACUUUUGAAAUCAAAUAAAAGGGGAGAACGAGAAAAACCAUAAAUCUAGAAACGAUUU